rnacentral:rRNA from 1 species
UGAGGAACAUGACCUUCGGCGGGGAUAGCCGGCCCAACGGCCGGGUAAUACCGCGUACGACCACAUGGGGACAUCCCCGAGUGGUGAAAGCAGCAAUGCGCCGAUGGAGUGCCUCGCGGCCUAUCAGCUAGUUGGUGAGGUAACGGCUCACCAAGGCGACGACGGGUAGCUGGUCUGAGAGGAUGGCCAGCCACAUUGGGACUGCGACACGGCCCAGACUCCCGUAGGGA